AGGGUCGUGGCGCAAAGGUAGCGCGUCCGCCUCCUAUUUCCGAUUCCUCCGGUCAGAAAACGGGCAGCGGAAGGCUGCAGGUUCGAGUCCUGCCGUCCCUG
rnacentral:tRNA from 1 species